AAGGAGUUAAAGUAAGAGAUGAUGAAAUUAUCAUGAUAUACAUGUUUAUUUUCAUAAUCUAACAUAGAAGAGUUAUUUGAUUUUAGUUUUAACUUAUAAGUAUUAUAUGUUUUAUAUGAAAUUGAAGAAAAAAAGAAGAAGUGAGAGAAUAAAAUUGAAUGAAAAGGAAAGGAGAAGGCUAAGGAGUGAAGGAAGAAAGAAACACAUCAUCUCAAC
rnacentral:lncRNA from 1 species